GAACGCGAAAGGGAGCAAUCCCCGGUAGCGUGGCAGACGGGUGAGUAACACGUGGGCAAUCUACCCGGAGGUGGGGGAUAACCCUUCGAAAGGAGGGCUAAUACCGCAUGACAUCUCGGGAUCCUCGGAUCCUGCGAUCAAAGCUGGCCUCUGUUUACAAGCUAGCGCCACCGGAUGGGCCCGCGCCCCAUUAGCUAGUUGGUGAGGUAACGGCUCACCAAGGCAACGAUGGGUAGCCGGCCUGAGAGGGCGAUCGGCCACACUGGAACUGCGACACGGUCCAGACUCCUACGGGAGGCAGCAGUGAGGAAUAUUGCGCAAUGGACGAAAGUCUGACGCAGCGACGCCGCGUGGAGGAUGAAGGUCUUCGGAUUGUANACUCCUGUCGAGUGGGACGAAUGCCGCGAGGGUGAACAUCCUCGUGGUUGACGGUACCGCUGGAGGAAGCCCCGGCUAACUCCGUG
rnacentral:rRNA from 1 species